rnacentral:misc_RNA from 1 species
AACGCACCUUGCGCUCCUUGGUAUUCCGAGGAGCAUGCCUGUUUGAGUGUCAUGAAAUUCUCAACCUUUCUGGCUUUGUUUCUUUUACAAGGGGCUAGUAAGGCUUGGAGGAAUGGGAGUUGCUGGCUUUUCAAAAGUUGGCUCUUCUUAAAUGUAUUAGCAAGAUUGUUGCUGAUCUUCUUUGGUAAUGAUAAUUUAUCUAUAUCAAUGAGAAUCACAUUCCUUUAUGGAAAGAUUUUGCUUCUAAUUGUCUCUUGGAGACAAUCUGACAACUUUUAACCUCAAAUCAGGUAGGAUUACCCGCUGAACUUAA